CAAAAUGACACUCUCAACUGUGAUCAACCCAAGAAAGAACAAAAUCAAGAUGGGAACAAACGAACCCCACGGCAGCUUUCCUCUUUAAGGAUCACAAGCAAUGGGAAAGUCCUACUGGCAUGAUGUUUGGGACUGACUGGAAGCUAUUUCUGCAGUGGACACGGAAGCUGGCUUGGAGGGAGGAAGGCCUGGAAGGGAGCCCAGAUCCACAGACCCUCAGGCCCCUGGGAGCUGUCCUAGGCUGGUUUUACCGUUAGCCAGUGUCCCAGCCAGGCUCAGGCCCCAGGCACUCACCUACCCGAUUUCCACUUCCUCCUGAGUUCAGCCUAGUCUCACAUGGGAGGCAGCAGGGGUCACAGGAGCAACAGUUCUGAGGAGAGAGUCCAUCUCAUUCACAGCUACUUCACCCCACAGUCCUUUCAAUGCUGAACUUGUGACAACCUGGAAAAACCAGCCAGUUGACCGCCUCAGUCAUUAGCCCCAGGGAGCACAAUUUCUGUGAGUUGUUUCCAACUGUGAUCAUUUUCCGACAGACGCUGAGUUCACUUCUACUUCUCUCCCUUUCUUUUCUCAGCACAAUUUAAUAAACACAGAAUGACUGGUAAACACUUGAAGAAAAUAAUCCAAAUUUGCAAAACAGAUCAGUUCAGCGGGGCUGUUUACAUUACUAAAGUUUUUUUGCUUUUUGCAAAACAGAUCACUGAA